rnacentral:lncRNA from 13 species
AGUCACUCAAUCCAGUCCCAGAGGCUUGUUGGGGGGACCAUACAAGGACUCCUGGUGACAGCUAGCUGAAAGAGCUACCCGGAUCAUAUCGCACGGGGGAGGGUAGGACACAUGACACUGUCGAACAAUAAACAGUGUUCGAGAGGAGAACUGGAAUUAACAGAAUUCCGGGGGCCAUCUCUCGAAUGAAGUAACCCUCCCUGUCCUGUCACCCCUGUUUUUGUUCAUAGAAGUGAAGAUGUGUCUGGCUCUUGCUAGUGAUGUGUUCUCUGGGAGAGGGUGGGACUUUACAGGAGUGUCAGUGUACCUGUGUAAUGGGGGAGGGUGUCCAUAUGGGGAUUACAUGAUAACCAACUUGGGACAAUUCUAGGAUUGGAGAAGAGGGUAUUCUUAUAGCAUAGGGGAUCCCACAAAGGUGGAUAGGUUUUCCAUCAUAUGGGGAAAACCUGGGAGCACUGUUGAACUUUGUAAAGGUGAUGAAAUCCUACUAACCAUCAAAACUAUUAAGCUCUCUGAUGCAGGCACUUACACCCUCGGACUACAAAGGACCGGGACAGACACGAUGGGUGUGUUUUCUAUUGGGGAGCUGCCAAAACCAGAGGUCCCAGACGAACCAGGGCCAGACACACUCCUCUACCACCCCUGGACCGAACCUGCCACCUACCACCACUGUGUUAAAAAAUCCCAUUCAGCUGAACAUUGUGUGACAAAGAACAAGACUCAGAGGGAUGACGGACGGCCCAACAGGGCCAAUCCAAGAAGACUACACCUCAGCCUGAACCAACCCGAAGACCCGAUCUUCUAGAAUCAACCUACUUUCUGUUCUGUAUAUGAGACAUGUGCACUCUGUUAUCUGCGCUUCUUUUCUGCUGGUUCCUUAAGAACCGAAUGAAAUGGCCCGUAUACGUUGUACCAGAUAUCUUUACUCAUAAUUAAACUGUCACUUGUCAUACAAUAGACCACCUUGUCUGAAUCGAUCCUUGACCGGCUCACCCUCCUACAUAUCCCAUUAUUAACAAGAGCCUUGACCAAAAUGACGAUGACCCACUCUUUCUGUGAGCCAGCACAGCCUGUGUGUGUGUGUGGAGGGGGGUCUGGGAAAAACAAAACCAUUAACCUGAAUUAGGGCCAGACUAGUUAACAUAAUUUUCUCACAUUGCCAUUGACAGUUUUUUCUAUUGUCUCUUUUUGGUCCAUUUAGAUUGCUAAUGUAGAUUGUAUACAAAAAUAAUUUAAAAAUGUUAUGGUUAAAAAAUGUCAUGUUUUACUGUGACUUGUUGUAGGCUCCUAAGUGGACCAUAAGGUUAAAAACCAAACCAAAUUAAGAAAACUAUUUUAAAAAAAGUUGUAAACUAAGUAACUCCACCAGAGUGUCUCUUUUAGGUCACGUUUGCCGGUCCCAAGCCCGGAUAAAGGAGGAGCGUUGAGCGUCCAUCACGAUUACAUGCACAUAGCCAAUUAUGCAAAUUAUGUGAUGACGUCAUUUAGCGACUUCUAGCGACUUUUAGGACAGCCAAUAGCUACUUCAUUACUGAGGAGUUGGCAACACUGGCAGAGACGUCUUGUUUCAUAACAAGACACAAAGCAGACUUCUUUCAACUCCAGUGAACUGGACAUAAACCCCAGCUGACAACCUCCAGUGCUGAAACAGAACGAGGGGGCGGGCAAGUAAGAGAGAGGGAGAGAGAGUUGUUGGAGGGUGGAGAAGUGGAAUAAAGUUGUUAUGCACUGGAACGAUUCCUCCUUGGCACAGACGUCAAUUCAACAUCUAUUUCACGUUAGAUCAACAUUAUAUCAUUGAAAUUACCUGCUCAGUGAAUGGCCCGUCUGUCAUUUUAUACUAGGCUACAGGUGGACAUUUCGUUCCAUUAUAAAGAAACAAUUAUGCCACAACGAACCCUUAAAACUAGUGAUAGAAAGUUAAAUGUAAAUUCCCCCAUUGUGUUUAAGGCUUUGCUUAUUUUCUCAUAGGUUGUUAACACACGACCUGUUGAAUGACAACAUUUAGGGCCAAACACUGCAGUUAAGGGUUUUCGUGCUGUUGGCCGGAGUAGUGUAACUUGGUAUGCCUUAAAGAGAGCCCCUCUAUACUGUUUUGUAUGGUGUUUAUUCUAUACAAGAGCAAGGUAAUAUUGAUUAGAAAGUCUUUACUUCAGCAUCACUGUGUAGCAUGCAUACAGCUCCAUUUAGUGCAUAGUAAGUAAUGCCUAACUUGGCCCACUCCUACUGGUCUUUGUGGACCGCCUGCCCCGCCUCUCAGCGCCCAGUGCUUUACACCAAUUAAAGCACAACGUGCUGUAAAUGUAAUGGCCUGAGCAGUGAUUGUUUUUGACAAGCAACAAAACACAAAGAUCCUCCCCUCCGAUUAGUCCAGGGCAGGGGGUGGGGUGGGAGUCAGGGGUGUGUGGGAGUGAGGAGGAACUAUCCUCAUCAUGAUUAAAUGGCAUCCCUGGCCACGUCCUCAGAGCAUGCGCAGAGCAGCUGGCUGGUGUGUUUAUGGGCAUACAGUGCCUUGCAAAAGUAUAUCAACAUACUUUAGUCAUACUUUAUUAUGAUAUAUAUAUUUAUUGUUUUACUUGUGCAUAAGGCAUAUGUUUUCUCCAUUUGGAAUAUGAUUUCAUAGGAAGUCAAAAGUCAAAAAUGUCAAAAUUUGGUAAAAAACUUCACACAUCCUUAAAAAAGUGCUUUCUGGACCGUUUUUCAAAAUUCUUUCGAUUUUUGUGUCAAUUACACAUGUAUAAGAACUUUAUCAAAAUACUUUAGUCAUACUUUAUUAUCAUAUAUAUAUAUAUUUUUUUUACUUGUGCAUAAGGCAUAUGUUUUCUCCAUUUGGAAUAUGAUUUCAUAGGAAGUCAAAAGUCAAAAGUCAAAAAUGUCAAAAUUUGGUAAAAAACUUCACACAUCCUUAAAAAAGUGCUUUCUGGACCGUUUUUCAAAAUUCUUUCGAUUUUUGUGUCAAUAACACAUGUAUAAGAACUUUAUCAACAUACUUUAGUCAUACUUUAUUAUCAUAUUUUAUUUUUUUUUUUGUACUUGUGCAUAAGGCAUAUGUUUUCUCCAUUUGCAAUAUGAUGUCAUAGGAAGUCAAAAGUCAAAGUCAAAAGUAAAUAUUUUCCUCCGUGCACCUGGUGAUCUGAAAUGUGCACCUGGUGAUCUGAAAUGUGCAACUGGUGACCUGAAAUGUGCAACUGGUAAUCUAAAAUAUGCAACUGGUAACCCCCAAAAAAAUGUUUGGGAUGUUUUUUUGUUUAUGUUUCCUUACUUUUUCAAAGUCACUGUGCAUUUGCAAUAUGUUUUAAUGGGCAGGUACCAUCACAAAUUUGUCAUGCUCAAAAUUCAAACUUUACUUUGCUCAAACUAUACCUUUGUCAACUUGUGAUCUAAAAUAUGCAACUGGUUACCCCCCAAAAAAAUUGAUGUUUUUUUGUUUAUGUUUCCUUACUUUUUCAAAGUCACUGUGCAUUUGCAAUAUGUUUUAAUGGGCAGGUACCAUCACGAAUUUGUCAUGCUCAAAAUUCUAACUUUACUUUGCUCAAACUAUACCUUUGUCAACUUGUAUUAUCAUAUUUCUUUUUGUUUUACUUGUGCAUAAGGCAUAUGUUUUCUCCAUUUGCAAUAUGAUGUCAUAGGAAGUCAAAAGUCAAAGUCAAAAGUAAAUAUUUUCCUCCGUGCACCUGGUGAUCUGAAAUGUGCAACUGGUGACCUGAAAUGUGCAACUGGUGACCUGAAAUGUGCAACUGGUAAUCUAAAAUAUGCAACUGGUAACCCCAAAAAAAAUGUUUUGGAUGUUUUUUUGUUUAUGUUUCCUUACUUUUUCAAAGUCACUGUGCAUUUGCAAUAUGUUUUAAUGGGCAGGUACCAUCACGAAUUUGUCAUGCUCAAAAUUCAAACUUUACUUUGCUCAAACUAUACCUUUGUCAACUUGUGAUCUAAAAUAUGCAACUGGUUACCCCCCCAAAAAAUGUUGGGAUGUUUUUUUGUUUAUGUUUCCUUACUUUUUCAAAGUCACUGUGCAUUUGCAAUAUGUUUUAAUGGGCAGGUACCAUCACGAAUUUGUCAUGCUCAAAAUUCAAACUUUACUUUGCUCAAACUAUACCUUUGUCAACUUGUGAUCUAAAAUAUGCAACUGG